rnacentral:rRNA from 1 species
UUGACCUCGGAUCAAGUAGGA